CCUACGGGGUGCAGCAGUGGGGGAUAUUGCACAAUGGGGGAAACCCUGAUGCAGCGACGCCGCGUGUGGGAAGACGGUCUUCUGGAUUGUAAACCACUGUCCCCAGGGACGAAAAUGACGGUACCUGGGGAGGAAGCUCCGGCUAACUACGUGCCAGCAGCCGCGGUAAUACGUAGGGAGCAAGCGUUGUCCGGAAUUACUGGGUGAAAAGGGAGCGUAGGCGGGGAUGCAAGUUGGGUGUCAAAACUACCGGCUCAACCGAUAGUCGCACUCAAAACUGCAGCUCUUGAGUGAAGUAGAGGCAGGCGGAAUUCCUAGUGUAGCGGUGAAAUGCGUAGAUAUUAGGAGGAACACCAGUGGCGAAGGCGGCCUGCUGGGCUUUUACUGACGCUGAGGCUCGAAAGUGUGGGGAGCAAACAGGAUUAGAUACCCCAGUAGUC
rnacentral:rRNA from 1 species